AUGUAAUAGGACAAGGGGAUCAUGUUCUAGAUCCUGUAAGCAGCAGAACUCGACAGCUUCAGCCAUGUGGCUCUGGCUCUAGAGUUAAGAAUGGAAGGAACUACUGGGACAAUUGAUGCUGGUUAGCUGGAGCUAAGACAUUAGCAAUGAUUAAGAAGAGAACAGCAUCACUGAGUUGAAACUGGGGGUUGUUUUCUGGGAGCACAAAGAAGCUGUGUUCCAGAGAUAGCCAAGGGUGUACCUCAUGCUGCAGCUGGACUUGGUAAUGUCUAAGAGUCACCUAGGUGGUACUGGUUUUGAAGGCAUGAAGGUGUUAUGAAGAACAGUUGAGGCUUUGCACUGUGAGAGGUCAUGGAAGGCCAUUGGUGAAGGUGUAGCCUCAGCUGUAGUUGAUGGCCCUGGACUGAAGGGGUCAGGCAAAGGAUUUGAUGCUUGGCACCAUGAAGAGAGCCUAUGAGAGGCUAUUGGUGAAGCCUAGUUGGAGUGGAACACCCCAGUGUAUUAGAGAUCAGUACCAUGGGAUGAUCACCAAGAUCAGCAGCCAUAGUGGAGUGGAUCAACCUGAGCUUAGAGUGCAACAGAGGGCAGAGCUGGAGAAGUGAUGCCAGCCCUUAGGAAGAGUCCAAAAUAUCAAGUGGAAUCUCAGACACUGAAACAAGAAGCUGUAACAUUGAAAUUACCUUGGAGACUCAAGGAUGUUAAAGAUGCCAGAGCCAUGAGAUACAUGCUGAGGAAAGCUGCUAACAGGGAGUGGAACUAGCCCAGGAGAAAGCAGUUUGUUGCAGUCAAUAAACAUGAAAAAGGAGUGGAGAUCUGAAGACUGCUUUGACAUCAGCCAUGGAGAUGCAGAGUUUGGAGUUUGCCCAGCUGGUUUCCUGCCUUGCUUUGAAGAUUACAGUUAAUUGGUUGGAUGAAUCUCAGAAGAGCCCUUGAACUUUGGACUUUUAACAAUGUUGAGACUGCUAUAGACUAUGAGGACUUUGAAAGUUGGAAUGCAUUUGCAUUAUGCUAUGUUUAAGUAUGGCCUCCAUAGACUCAUGUUUUUGAACAAGUCUAUGAGGGCCAGUGAGUGGAAUGUGAUGGUUUGUAUAUUCUUGGACCAGGGAGUGGCAUCAUUUGAAGGUGUAGCCUUGUUGGAAAGGUGUGACCUGGUUGGAGUAGGUGUGUCACUGUGGGUGUGGACUUAAGACUCUCACCCCAGUUGCCUGGAAGUCAGUCUUCCACUGGCAGCCUUUGGAUGAAGACAGAACUCUCAGCUCUGCCUGCGCGGUGACACUGAUGAUAAUGGACUGAACCUCUGAACCUGUAAGCCAGCCCCAAGUAAAUGUUGUUUUUUUAUAAGACUUGCCUUGGUCAUGGUGUCUGUUCACAGCAGGAAAACCCUAAGACAAAUGAGCAAGCACAGAUUUUCGAGGGCUUAAUCAGAUCUCAUGAGUUUAAUAAAUGGAGUUGUGUAAUUCAGGAUACAAAAUAAUAAAGACACUGUGAACACAGGGAAAAAAAAGAUUUUCAUCUUCCUAGAUAAGUCUAGGUUUGAGUUAAGUUGUUAGAAAGCCAACUGGCAUACACAGUGCAAAAUAGAUGCCACUAUUUCUAUUGCGCAAUUAGUUGAUAUUCCAUUUUGUCACACUGUUCCUAAAGGAGGCUUACUGAUUGAUGUUUUCACCAAUCUAUCCUGGAAGCAUCUGUUUCUCCAUAUUUAAUAUUAUGUUGUACUUUUAACUGUCAGUUUGCUAAAUGAUACGUCGGUGCUGUGUAGCUUUUAUAUUUAUGUAAAUGUACAUAAUAAACUAUUGUUUUUGUGU
rnacentral:lncRNA from 1 species